rnacentral:rRNA from 1 species
AGUUUGAUCAUGGCUCAGGACGAACGCUGGCGGCGUGCUUAACACAUGCAAGUCAAGGAGAAAGCUUUCUUCGGAUGGCAAGUAAACUGGCGCACGGGUGAGUAAUAUGUAAGUAAUCUACCGAUAGGUUUGGGAUAACUUCGAGAAAUCGGGGCUAAUACCAAAUAAUGCAGCGGCAUCGCAUGAUGAUGUUGUUAAAGUAAUUUAUUACGCCUAUUGAUGAGCUUGCAGCUGAUUAGCUAGUUGGCGGGGUAAAGGCCCACCAAGGCAACGAUCAGUAGCUGGUCUGAGAGGAUGAUCAGCCACACUGGAACUGAGACACGGUCCAGACUCCUACGGGAGGCAGCAGUGAGGAAUAUUGGGCAAUGGGCGAAAGCCUGACCCAGCAACGCCGCGUGGAGGAUGAAUGCCGUAAGGUUGUAAACUCCUUUUUUUGGGGACGAAAAAGCAGGUUGGUAGCCUGCAUUGACUGUACCCAUAGAAUAAGCUCCGGCUAACUACGUGCCAGCAGCCGCGGUAAUACGUAGGGAGCAAGCGUUGUCCGGAUUUACUGGGUGUAAAGGGCGCGUAGGCGGACUUGUUAGUCAGAGGUGAAAUCCUGCGGCUUAACCGUAGAACUGCCUUUGAUACUGCAAGUCUUGAGUUCGGAAGAGAGAGAUGGAAUUCCAGGUGUAGUGGUGAAAUACGUAGAUAUCUGGAAGAACACCAGUGGCGAAGGCGGUCUCUUGGUCCGUAACUGACGCUGAGGCGCGAAAGCGUGGGGAGCAAACAGGGUUAGA